AAAUGUUCAAUAACAUGUUUUUAACUUAGAUAAAUUGCGCUUUAAAGUCACGCCGCAUAAAUUUCAUAUACUUAAGACACUCAAGUUCAAAUUUAUGUACAUGCCACGAGCUAAAGCCUAUUGUGGCUAAAGAGACAUAUUAUUAUUAUUAUUUUCUUCUGCUACGGCUACGUGCUUUACAUAGGGUCUUCGGUUUCAGUAUUGAAAACGCACGGGAACCAUUAAUAAAAAUGGCAAAAAAAAUUGAAAAAAGAGAGAAAAAAAAAGAGCCGCCCACAUAUUGAAAGCUGAAGUAAAUAACAAUGCGAACGCUUCAUUAAAUGAUGUGGCACUAACCAACCGAACAAGAAGAAGAAGAAGAUAGAGAACAACAACAACAACUACAUAGAUAAAAGGCAGUCUAUUGACAGUGCCUCACAGCUGCGUGCGGUCGCAUGGUGUGAAACUUGCCAUAAGUAUAUGGCUCUAUUUGUAGCACUUGAAUGGAAGAAGCAAGCGACGACCCGCUGUGACGCUAGCUACAUUUGAUCAAGAUUUGUGGUUGUGCGUGUGAAACUGCUGCCAAAAGGGCCAAAAAGUGAGCGCCCAUAAAAGGGAACAGCGCGCCGGCUGAAGUUAUGCAGUCAGCUUGCUAUCAGCGCUUUAUUGAAUUAAUCAAUCAAUUUGUGAGCACAGCCAAGGGAAUAAAUUCCAAUAUAAAUCAAAUGCGAGCGAAUUGAAUUGCUGAGGCUCAGCCAGAGCCAAGAAUAUACCUUGGAUAAAUAAAUAUGUGUGUAGAUACAGUGUUGCUUGCCUAAAUCGAAUCAUCAUCUCUCUUUCGACUGAUUCAAACAGAGACUGCGAAAAGAAGUGAAGGAAACUAUCAAAAGACUCUUGCAAUACGUUGAAAGCUUUACAAAAUAUGAGGAGAUAAAGACGAUUGAAAGGCGUGAAACAAACUGCUGUCUUUCACGCACUUCCGAAACACAUAAUUAAACGUUGUUCAACACUUGUUCAACAGCCUUCUUUUUCAGACAACAUUCUAUUUUGUUAAGCUAAUUUAGACUGACAAUCAAAAAUAUACAAAAUAAAGGCAGUUCUUUGGAAUUUUUCGGGUCCCCUGGGAAUUCUGUAGAGAACUUCGAA